rnacentral:rRNA from 1 species
CAAAUCUCAAAAAAACAAUCUCAGUUCAGACUGCAGGCUGCAACUCGCCUGCACGAAGUCGGAAUUGCUAGUAAUCGUAGGUCAGCAUACUACGGUGAAUACGUUCCCGGGCCUUGUACACACCGCCCGUCAAACCAUGAGAGUUGGCAACACCCGAAGUCGGUAGUCUAACCGCAAGGAGGACGCCGCCGAAGGUGGGGUUGAUGAUUAGGGUUAAGUCGUAACAAGGUAGC